GACGAACGCUGGCGGCGUGCCUAACACAUGCAAGUCGAACGGAAAGGCCCUGCUCUUGUGGGGUUCUCGAGUGGCGAACGGGUGAGUAACACGUGAGUAACCUGCCCUUGACUUUGGGAUAACUUCACGAAACUGGGGCUAAUACAGCAUAGGAGCUCCUGCUGCAUGGUGGGGGUUGGAAAGUUUCGGCGGUUGGGGAUGGUCUCGCGGCUUAUCAGCUUGAUGGUGAGGUAGUGGCUUACGAAGGCUUUGACGGGUAGCCGGCCUGAGAGGGGAGCCGGGGACAAUGGGACUGCGAUAGGCACCAGACGGGAACGGGCGGCAGCGGGGGAGAGUAUUACGCAGUGGGCGGGAGCCAGAUACAGCGGCGCCGGGUGCGGAAUAACCGCCUUCGGGGUGUAAACAGCUUUCGCCUGAGACGAAGCGUGAGUGACGGUACUGGGUAAGGAAGCACCGGCUAACUACGUG
rnacentral:rRNA from 1 species